AGGGGCAUAGCUCAACUGGUAGAGCAGCGGUCUCCAAAACCGCAGGUUGGGGGUUCGAAUCCCUCUGCCCCUG
rnacentral:tRNA from 1 species